rnacentral:lncRNA from 1 species
CCACAUAAUGAUAUUUUCUACCAAGGUACGGUAUUGGUAAACUAUGCUUUCCACCAGUCCUGAUUGGAGCCCCUUACAAGGAUGCCCUUGCAAGGGCCAAUCUCCCAGUCAGGUAUAACUCCGUGGAUAGCUCACAACCCUUCCUCAUGCGCAAGUGGUUCUCCACCAAGCCUAUCCUAGAUGUUGUCCAUUGUCUGGUAGAGCUCCGGCCAAAAUGCCAAGAGCCUCUCCUCCUUCAUAGACCACCAAAGACCACUCCACAAAUGUAGUUGGAGUGAUAUGGCAAUACUUACAAGUCCCAAAAUGUACAUCCUUGGUACAUGCAAUAGCUUAUAGGCCAAAACCUAAAAAAAAAUUGCUAUUAUGACCUAAUCUAGUCUACGCACCAAUCCUAAAGCUUUUGAUAAUUGCCUACUCUUGUCUUAAGCACAUGUAGUGGUUAGAUAACUAAGAGAUGAGCCUCAACUCAACUACAAUUUCAACCAACUUCAACACACUCUAAUUGGCUGGGUAUGAGGGUAUGUAUAGCCCCAAAUUAAUAAACUAGCCGUUGCACACUCUGCAUUUGCAAUGAGCACCAGAUAGCUUUAGUGACCACAUGAGAAAAAUUGGGUGCCCCUGCCAUGUCAAACUUGCCAUUGCUAACUAUUGCUAUUUGAGUUUUCCAUGACCGACCUCAACAACCUUCACCACUUCCUCGAUCAACAUCUCUUUAAUGUGCUCCUCUGUUGGGUUGGUUCUAUCUCAACAACAAUAUGCCAUUGAUUUACUACAACAGGCAAUCAUGGUUGAGUGUCACUCUACAACAACACUUGUGGAUGCUCAUGCCAAGUUGUCUAUGGGGUGUGCUCUUGGUCUCCUACCCUUGCCGGCGAACAAUGAGGAGGAGGUUGAUGGUGUCCCACAGGAGAAAAAGAACAAGGGUUGUCAAAUAAGGGAACAAGGGUGAGUAGCGAUAAAUUUAGGAGUAAAUGGCCAUUAAUUCAUUCCUCUCUAUAGUGUCACCCAUCGGGUAUUUGUAGGACAUACAUGGGGUAGGUGAAAUUACAUCAUUCUCCCUCUAGGGUGAGCAUCCUUUUUACAAAGACAUGGGGGCUUGGUGGACAUUUCCUGUGUUCCCCUCACCUACUAUUUUGACGCUAUUGAGGGUUUUGUUCUUGGGGACCACCGUCUCCCGUCCUCGGUCUCAUGGUCACGAGGUUAGGCACACCACAACAUUCCUUCCUUUGAGUGGCCUAUGGGGCGAUGCUUCAUCUGUAGAGACAGAUCAAAACCGUGCCUAUCUUCGCUUGUGGAGUUAGCGAGGCAUCCUCCGAUCAAGUAGCAGGCAGGCGAGCGCCCCACCGGUGCGGUUCCUAGCCACAUCACAAUCGAGAAAAAGGGUUAGCUGAGGGCUUAGC